GAGACGGUGGGACAGCGGGCCAGGUGGACCCCAGCGCAAGGCGUGCGUGCUUGCAGGGCGGUGACAGCGGGGUGGGGGCGGAGGCGCACCCCAGGGACCCAGCGGCCCACCACACCCGCAGCGAGGACCGACGACGGGCCGCCCGACAACUCGACCGAGGGCACAAGCGGCGCGGGGCCGCACCGCGGCGUCGCGGAGGGACGAGGGGGGAAGCCCCAAGCUCCCCCACCACCACCACACCCCAGACACGGACCUCCCCCUCGACGGCCCGGGGCACCGAGCAGUCACGUCGGGACCGGCCGACACGCGCGCGCCCUCGCUCGAGCGGACAGGAGAGGGGUGGCAACGAGGGCCAAGGCCCAAGGCCCCUCCCCCCCACCCACCCAGGAGCGGCACGGCUAUGACGGCCGGCCCGCAGCGGCUAGCCGGGUCCCGACUCGCGCUCAGGUGAGCUCAGCAGAGCCGGGAGGGAGGGGCACGCGGCAGGGGGUGGGGGGUGGCAGAAGGCCACCCCUCGACCACACGCAACGACACCGGCGGACAGGCGGGGCAAGGAAGCGGCGGCGGGCACGGAGCGGGGCCGCAGCGGGCCCAGGAAAGCGAGACGCACCAGGACGCCGGUCCGGGGGUCGGCAGAUGGGGACCAGACAGACGGGAGGUCAGACAGACGAGCGGGAGCGAGGAGGGCGAACGUGGGAGCGGCCGGCAUCGAGAGAGAUGCCACAAAGGGACGGUGGCGGAGGGGGCGGCCGCAGGCCUCCAACGAGGUGGGGGGGGGCCACGGGGACCAUCCCCAAAAACCAGAUGCGAGUCGGCUGCCAGGGCACGACACGGGGUCUCACCGCCAGAGGCCUCCAGCACAACGGCGGUCCCGCCGCAACACCCAGGACGCCGACUGGCCUCCCCCUCAGCCCCUGGGGGGCCCCCCCUCGCGGGGGCCCCACGACCGCCACCGACGACACCGAUGAGCCACAGCCGGCCCCGUGGAAACAAGUCUCCCAAGGCACCUACCGACGACCACCCCCCACACCCCACACGCACCCGCCGUGCCCAACCCUCUUCCCCCACCCCCCCGCGCACAGGGGGACACCCGAGAAGCACCUCACCCAGGGACACCCGCCCGGCCACGGCGGCCCGGGGGGGACACCCACACGAGGUGAGGCCAUUUCAGGUCCCCGGUUGACGCGGGGGCGGGAGGGAGAGAGACAUGGCACAGGCAAGGCAGGGCGGUCACCUGUUCGGGGCAGGGGGAGGGC
rnacentral:lncRNA from 1 species